GACGAACGCUGGCGGCGUGCUUAACACAUGCCAGUCGAACGCUGAAGCUCAGCUUGCUGGGUGGAUGAGUGGCGAACGGGUGAGUAACACGUGAGUAACCUGCCCUCUUCUUUGGGAUAACGCCCGGAAACGGGUGCUAAUACUGGAUAUUCACUGAUUCUCGCAUGGGGGUUGGUGGAAAGGUUUUUUCUGGUGGGGGAUGGGCUCGCGGCCUAUCAGCUUGUUGGUGGGGUGAUGGCCUACCAAGGCUUUGACGGGUAGCCGGCCUGAGAGGGUGACCGGUCACAUUGGGACUGGGAGACGGCCCAGACUCCUACGGGAGGCAGCAGUGGGGAAUAUUGCACAAUGGGCGAAAGCCUGAUGCAGCGACGCCGCGUGAGGGAUGGAGGCCUUCGGGUUGUAAACCUCUUUCGCUCAUGGUCAAGCCGCAGCUUUGGGUUGUGGUGAGGGUAGUGGGUAAAGAAGCGCCGGCUAACUACGUG
rnacentral:rRNA from 1 species